rnacentral:rRNA from 1 species
UAGGGAAUCUUCGGCAAUGGACGAAAGUCUGACCGAGCAACGCCGCGUGAGUGAAGAAGGUUUUCGGAUCGUAAAACUCUGUUGUUAGAGAAGAACAAGGAUGAGAGUAAAACGUUCAUCCCUUGACGGUAUCUAACCAGAAAGCCACGGCUAACUACGUGCCAGCAGCCGCGGUAAUACGUAGGUGGCAAGCGUUGUCCGGAUUUAUUGGGCGUAAAGCGAGCGCAGGCGGUUGCUUAAGUCUGAUGUGAAAGCCCCCGGCUCAACCGGGGAGGGUCAUUGGAAACUGGGAAACUUGAGUGCAGAAGAGGAGAGUGGAAUUCCAUGUGUAGCGGUGAAAUGCGUAGAUAUAUGGAGGAACACCAGUGGCGAAGGCGGCUCUCUGGUCUGUAACUGACGCUGAGGCUCGAAAGCGUGGGGAGCAAACA